rnacentral:rRNA from 1 species
GACGAACGCUGGCGGCGUGCUUAACACAUGCAAGUCGAACGGUGAAGGGACUGGUUUUGCUGGUCCUGGAUGAGUGGCGAACGGGUGAGUAACACGUGAGUAACCUGCCCCCUUCUUCUGGAUAACCGCAUGAAAGUGUGGCUAAUACGGGAUAUUCUGGGUCUGUCGCAUGGUGGGCCUGGGAAAGAUUGCGCCUUUUUUGGUGUUUUUGGUGGGGGAUGGGCUCGCGGCCUAUCAGCUUGUUGGUGGGGUGAUGGCCUACCAAGGCGGUGACGGGUAGCCGGCCUGAGAGGGGGGACGGUCACCCUGGGACUGAGACACGGCCAAGACUCCUCGGGGAGGCAGCAGUGGGAAAUAUGGCACAAGGGGCGCAAGCCUGAUGCAGCGACGCCGCGUGAGGGAUGGAGGCCUUCGGGUUGGGAACCUCUUUCGCCAGUGAAGCAGGCCUGCCUCUUUUUGUGGGUGGGUUGACGGUAGCUGGAUAAGAAGCGCCGGCUAACUACGUG